rnacentral:rRNA from 1 species
AUUGAACGCUGGCGGAAUGCUUUACACAUGCAAGUCGAACGGCAGCACGGGGCAACCUGGUGGCGAGUGGCGAACGGGUGAGUAAUACAUCGGAACGUGCCCAAUCGUGGGGGAUAACGUAGCGAAAGUUACGCUAAUACCGCAUACGAUCUACGGAUGAAAGCGGGGGAUCGCAAGACCUCGCGCGAGUGGAGCGGCCGAUGUCAGAUUAGGUAGUUGGUGGGGUAAAGGCUCACCAAGCCAACGAUCUGUAGCUGGUCUGAGAGGACGACCAGCCACACUGGAACUGAGACACGGUCCAGACUCCUACGGGAGGCAGCAGUGGGGAAUUUUGGACAAUGGGCGCAAGCCUGAUCCAGCCAUUCCGCGUGCAGGAUGAAGGCCUUCGGGUUGUAACUGCUUUGUACGGAACGAAACGGCGAGCUCUAAUACAGUUUGCUAAUGACGGUACCGUAAGAAUAAGCACCGGCUAACUACGUGCCAGCAGCCGCGGU